GUGAUUCACUGUCUAAACUGGUUUGCUGCUGCUAGAAUGAAAACAACCUAUGCAGAAAAAUCAAAUGAUCAUCUCUGAGGAAAGAGAAUAUGAAUGUGACCGGAAUGGGUGGACCAAGGGUGGAGCCACAGUGGGCUCAUGUAAGAGCUGACCAGUGAAGGGAGACCUGGACUGUUUCCUGAGAAGGAGUGCUGCAUAGUGAGAUAUCUACUUCACCAGUUAGAAUUAAAACAGACCCAUGCUGUUCUUGAGCAUAGGAGAUGUCUCACUGUUUGUCCCUGAAUUGUCCUCAUUAUGUCUGGAUGUACUGAAUUAACCCCAGAACAUGUAAAGCAACCUGGUCAGAGUUUGGUGUAGUACCCACGAGGAGGCGAUGGCAUUCAUGCUACAGUUGAAAAAACACAUUCAAGAGAUGAAAAGCAGUAAUCAGCCACAUCCAUUCCCAGGCCUGCUUCCCUGCCCUGAAGGUCAGAUCACAGCUGCAGUUUGGCUUCAAGGCCAGGGGCACUGAGCCAGGCCUUGCAUGUUACAGAAUCACAGAACUGCAGGGUUGGAAGGGACCUCAAGUGGUCAUCAAGGACAACCUCCCUGCUAAGUUGCAGAGUUUCCCAAAUAAUGUAGGAACAAGGGACAUGAUUCUGUAGCCACUGCUUGCCACCACGAUUUAGAAUGUGGACACGUCAUCCAUAAAUCACUGAGGAGUGUCCUUCAGGUAUUUUACAGUGCUGCCAAGUAGCUCUGCUCAUUGUGAGGCUCAAGCCUGAAACUUCAAGUAUGUAUAUAAUGACAUGCAGAGAUCACAGUUAUCUCUAGCAUCUGUGGACUUCAGAUCCUGUGUCAAUUUGGGAAGCAAAGUUAUCUGGAAUAUAUCAUUCUACCAUGAAAAUACAAUGCACUAAGUAUUCCAUAUCAUAACAUCAUGCAGUGUACUGGGAGUUAGAGAGCAAAUGCUCUAGUUCCGGGUACUUGUCCAGAAGGAAAGAAGAACUACAUUCCCCAGAAGACUGGUCGAGUACUGUUAUCAUUCCUGCUCAGGGGAACAGACAUAAGGCCUGUAGGUCACCUGAACUGAGUCUUCUGCCCUUUCUUCUCGUCUCGUCGUGCUCACUUUUGGAUCGUCUCGCUGCUGCUCCCUACUGCAUGCAAGGCUUCAGUAGUAGUGUAAGACCUUUAGCUCUCGGACAAUCCUUCUCUCAAUUAUAUUUGAUUUUAUUAACAACUAUAUUGAAUUAUAUUGUAUUAUAGUGUGUUAUUGUGCAUUUCAAUACUGUAUUUAGUGAAUUAGUUUGUUUCUUCUCAGAUCGUUGCCACUGUUUUUUUAAUUAUUCCUUCUUGUGGGGGGUCCCCUGUUUCUCUUUUCCGGAGGCGCAGAUUUUACAAAAAAAUCCCUCUGCCUCACUAGUCACGGAACCGGGCCAGACCAGCCCGUAAACUGUCGACACAUGUUUAAAUGUCUAGCUGCAUACCUCACCAAAUUAUUUUAGCUCUGCAAUGGAUUUACAUUAGGAAAAGUUCCCUGAUGUCCUUGUAGGAGGAAAAGAAAAACAAAAAAGGGCACACAAUUGCCCUAAACAUAGUUGCAACACUAUGUGGUACAAAUCUGUGAGCUUUAUGUAGGUGAGGGUUGCACCAAUAGUUGUGAGGAUAGUUUCUCUACUGCUUGAUACAGAAUGCAAAGUUAAAAAGUGCUGCUAUGCUGCUGGAUAAGCCUACCCAUCAAAAAAGUAACUGUCAGUAUAGCUUAUCCUGACAUUCUGAGAACAGAGAGAAACCAUGCAGGGCCCUGGAAUCUCCUACAUAAUCAACAGGAUCCCAAGGAAAACACUAGCAUAUGUUUCAGUGCAUUUACUUUCCACCGUAUGUGUACCUAAGUCAAAAAAGUAGGCUUUCGAAUACUUUGUAUUGAGUCUAGCAUUAGUACAAAUUACCAGCUAGAGCAGCAAUUAGUGCCAGGCGUAGCUGGAGCACUGUUUCUAACCUUUCCAUACAGCAUCAGUCAGUGUGUAAAGGAUUUGCAGGAGUACAGCUUUUGCUGUUGUCAAAAUACAGAUAUGCAUUGUUCAAUAAAUUAGCCUUUAUUGCUUCUUAUAUAAACUGAUAAUUUUUGAUAACUGAUUUGGAAAACACUGAUUGCUAGAGCUAUUGUAAUUUUACUUUUUUUAGUAUCAUAGAAGAAGUUAUCUAGCUAUUACUUUCUUGUUAAAUUAUCACCCAUUGUUAAAGUGCAGAAUACCGGGUAGGCUUCUUGUGCCUGCCAUUUUUAUUUAACAGAUAAUUCUUAUGAACACUGAAUUACUUCAUACAUACUGUACAUGAACUAUGAUUGUCAACGUGCCUUUCUUAAAGUCUGUUUAUUUUCCUAACUGCUAAUGUUGCAGCUGAUGUAAUGUGUAAUAUAUAACAUUUGAUGUUAAGAUUUUCUGAUUUCUUCAGCUUGUCACCAACUUCAAAAUGCUUCAUUUCUUUCGGGAUGAAAAAAUCUCCUUACUUUGUUGUAUAAACUCUGUGCAAUGUAAUCUUAGCAAGCUAGCACAUCUAUGAGAAUUUAACAAAUAAUUGAAGGAGUGAUACAGUAUUUUGUUCAACUCUUCAGACAGAAAAAAAUAUAAGAUAGGUCAAGUACUAGCAGUCCUAGUUGUAAUGUGAAGGAAAUGUUCAAACUUGGUAAGAAUUCAUUUUCAGUUACAUGAAGAAGUUGUGGUUUCUAGCCAUUUUCUAAGUAAACUAAACCCUGAAAAAGUUAUCAGAGAUAGCUGAGGCAUGGAACAGGCUUUGGUUAAUUUCAUGUCAGAAAUGCCAUCAGUAACCCAAUGGUGGAGAACAUUUACAAAAAUACGGAGAGGAUGUGAAAGGGCUGUAUGACCAGUGAGAGUAGUCUUAAUUCUCAAAUUGCCUGCUAUUUUUAUGUCUCAGUGCUUAAUUUCAAACUGUGAUUCUGCCUUUAUGUUCUAAGAGAUGAUAAACGCAUGCAUGUUUAUUCUUGUAAUACCUUGUAUUAAAGAUGUGUAAUUGUCAGAAAGAGAUGAAAGAUUAGAUGUUAUCAAAUCUUUGAAAGCUUUGUCUACAGUCUGGCAGACAAAGCUAUGCUUUUUUUGGUUCGUGCAUCAUUGAUUUUGCAACGAGAACUCAGUUUAUGCCAACGCUGGCAAACCAAAAUUGAAACCACCUUACUUUCCUAGAACUCUAUUAACUUUGAAGUGCUAGCAGGACUUGAAAUGAGUAACCAUUUAUUUUAGUUACUAAGGAAAUCAGCCAUGUCCCUGAAUGCACUCAGUUAGUAGCUCAGUUAAAUAAAAGUACAUUCCAUUUAAAGUAGAAUUGUGCUUUAAUGUUGAAUGAACGCUAAUCUGGGGUUGCAUGGGGCUCCUUCACUUUGUAUGAUACAGCAUUUGGCAGUGCACUGAUGGUUGCUUAACAUGGCAAUGUAUAAAAAGAAGUACCUUCGAGAUGUGUUUCCAAAGUUUUUCUUGCUGAAAUAUAUCUUUUCAUAGUUAAAUUAUCUUAUUUAAAAUAUCUGCUUUGCAGUCAUGGGAAACUCUAUAUUAAUAACUGUGUUUUUAAUCAAAUAUGUCUUGAACUAAUUUAGUUUCUCCAAUGUAUAUACUCUGUUGUUUUUUUUUUUUUGUAUUACAAGCAAAUAUUUGAGGAUGUCUGAAAUACAGUAUGUAAUGUUUAGUGAAGGCUAUGCAGAAAGAAAUAUUAAAUUUGAAAUAUGC
ensembl:lncRNA